GACGAACGCUGGCGGCGUGCUUAACACAUGCAAGUCGAACGGUAAGGCCCUUCGGGGUACACGAGUGGCGAACGGGUGAGUAACACGUGGGUGAUCUGCCCUGCACUUCGGGAUAAGCCUGGGAAACUGGGUCUAAUACCGGAUAGGACCAAUGCCUGCAUGGGUGGUGGUGGAAAGCUUUUGCGGUGUGGGAUGGGCCCGCGGCCUAUCAGCUUGGUGGUGGGGUGAUGGCCUCCCAAGGCGACGACGGGUAGCCGGCCUGAGAGGGUGACCGUGCACACUGGGACUGAGAUAGGGCCCAGACUCCUACGGGAGGAAGCAGUGGGGAAUAAUGCACAAUGGGCGCAAGCCUGAUGCAGCGACGCCGCGUGAGGGAUGACGGCCUUCGGGUUGUAAACCUCUUUCAGCACCGACGAAGCGCAAGUGACGGUAGGUGCAGAAGAAGGACCGGCCAACUACGUGCCAGCAGCCGCGGUAA
rnacentral:rRNA from 1 species